rnacentral:tRNA from 1 species
GGACUCGUAGCUCAGUUGGAUAGAGCGCUGCCCUCCGAAGGCAGAGGUCGGAGGUUCGAAUCCUCUCGAGUCCGCCA